GGGUUGUGAGGUUAAGCGACUAAGCGUACACGGUGGAUGCCCUGGCAGUCAGAGGCGAUGAAGGACGUGCUAAUCUGCGAAAAGCGCCGGCGAGGUGAUAUGAACCUUUGACCCGGCGAUGUCCGAAUGGGGAAACCCAGUGUGUUCCGACACACUAUCGUUAACUGAAUACAUAGGUUAACGAGGCGAACCGGGGGAACUGAAACAUCUAAGUACCCCGAGGAAAAGAAAUCAACCGAGAUUCCCCCAGUAGCGGCGAGCGAACGGGGAGCAGCCCAGAGUCUGAAUCAGCUUGUGUGUUAGUGGAAGCGUCUGGAAAGUCGCACGGUACAGGGUGACAGUCCCGUACACGAAAGCACACAGGUUGUGAACUCGAAGAGUAGGGCGGGACACGUGGUAUCCUGUCUGAAUAUGGGGGGACCAUCCUCCAAGGCUAAAUACUCCUGACUGACCGAUAGUGAACCAGUACCGUGAGGGAAAGGCGAAAAGAACCCCGGCGAGGGGAGUGAAAAAGAACCUGAAACCGUGUACGUACAAGCAGUGGGAGCACCUUCGUGGUGUGACUGCGUACCUUUUGUAUAAUGGGUCAGCGACUUAUAUUCUGUAGCAAGGUUAACCGUAUAGGGGAGCCGAAGGGAAACCGAGUCUUAACUGGGCGUUAAGUUGCAGGGUAUAGACCCGAAACCCGGUGAUCUAGCCAUGGGCAGGUUGAAGGUUGGGUAACACUAACUGGAGGACCGAACCGACUAAUGUUGAAAAAUUAGCGGAUGACUUGUGGCUGGGGGUGAAAGGCCAAUCAAACCGGGAGAUAGCUGGUUCUCCCCGAAAGCUAUUUAGGUAGCGCCUCGUGAACUCAUCUUCGGGGGUAGAGCACUGUUUCGGCUAGGGGGCCAUCCCGGCUUACCAACCCGAUGCAAACUACGAAUACCGAAGAAUGUUAUCACGGGAGACACACGGCGGGUGCUAACGUCCGUCGUGAAGAGGGAAACAACCCAGACCGCCAGCUAAGGUCCCAAAGUCAUGGUUAAGUGGGAAACGAUGUGGGAAGGCACAGACAGCCAGGAUGUUGGCUUAGAAGCAGCCAUCAUUUAAAGAAAGCGUAAUAGCUCACUGGUCGAGUCGGCCUGCGCGGAAGAUGUAACGGGGCUAAACCAUGCACCGAAGCUGCGGCAGCGACACUAUGUGUUGUUGGGUAGGGGAGCGUUCUGUAAGCCGUUGAAGGUGUGCUGUGAGGCAUGCUGGAGGUAUCAGAAGUGCGAAUGCUGACAUAAGUAACGAUAAAGCGGGUGAAAAGCCCGCUCGCCGGAAGACCAAGGGUUCCUGUCCAACGUUAAUCGGGGCAGGGUGAGUCGACCCCUAAGGCGAGGCCGAAAGGCGUAGUCGAUGGGAAACAGGUUAAUAUUCCUGUACUUGGUGUUACUGCGAAGGGGGGACGGAGAAGGCUAUGUUAGCCGGGCGACGGUUGUCCCGGUUUAAGCAUGUAGGCGGAACGAUUAGGUAAAUCCGGUCGUUUUUUAACGCUGAGGUGUGAUGACGAGGCACUACGGUGCUGAAGUAACAAAUGCCCUGCUUCCAGGAAAAGCCUCUAAGCAUCAGGUAACAUCAAAUCGUACCCCAAACCGACACAGGUGGUCAGGUAGAGAAUACCAAGGCGCUUGAGAGAACUCGGGUGAAGGAACUAGGCAAAAUGGUGCCGUAACUUCGGGAGAAGGCACGCUGAUAUGUAGGUGAAGCCCCUGCGGGUGGAGCUGAAAUCAGUCGAAGAUACCAGCUGGCUGCAACUGUUUAUUAAAAACACAGCACUGUGCAAACACGAAAGUGGACGUAUACGGUGUGACGCCUGCCCGGUGCCGGAAGGUUAAUUGAUGGGGUUAGCGGCAACGCGAAGCUCUUGAUCGAAGCCCCGGUAAACGGCGGCCGUAACUAUAACGGUCCUAAGGUAGCGAAAUUCCUUGUCGGGUAAGUUCCGACCUGCACGAAUGGCGUAAUGAUGGCCAGGCUGUCUCCACCCGAGACUCAGUGAAAUUGAACUCGCUGUGAAGAUGCAGUGUACCCGCGGCAAGACGGAAAGACCCCGUGAACCUUUACUAUAGCUUGACACUGAACACUGGUCCUUGAUGUGUAGGAUAGGUGGGAGGCUUUGAAGCGUGGACGCCAGUCUGCGUGGAGCCGUCCUUGAAAUACCACCCUUUAAUGGCUGGUGUUCUAACGUAGACCCGUGAUCCGGGUUGCGGACAGUGUCUGGUGGGUAGUUUGACUGGGGCGGUCUCCUCCCAAAGAGUAACGGAGGAGCACGAAGGUUAGCUAAUCCUGGUCGGACAUCAGGAGGUUAGUGCAAUGGCAUAAGCUAGCUUGACUGCGAGAGUGACGGCUCGAGCAGGUGCGAAAGCAGGUCAUAGUGAUCCGGUGGUUCUGAAUGGAAGGGCCAUCGCUCAACGGAUAAAAGGUACUCCGGGGAUAACAGGCUGAUACCGCCCAAGAGUUCAUAUCGACGGCGGUGUUUGGCACCUCGAUGUCGGCUCAUCACAUCCUGGGGCUGAAGUAGGUCCCAAGGGUAUGGCUGUUCGCCAUUUAAAGUGGUACGCGAGCUGGGUUUAGAACGUCGUGAGACAGUUCGGUCCCUAUCUGCCGUGGGCGCUGGAGAAUUGAGGGGGGCUGCUCCUAGUACGAGAGGACCGGAGUGGACGCAUCACUGGUGUUCGGGUUGUCAUGCCAAUGGCACUGCCCGGUAGCUAAAUGCGGAAAAGAUAAGUGCUGAAAGCAUCUAAGCACGAAACUUGCCCCGAGAUGAGUUCUCCCUGAGACUUUAAGUCUCCUGAAGGAACGUUGAAGACGACGACGUUGAUAGGUCGGGUGUGUAAGCGCAGCGAUGCGUUGAGCUAACCGAUACUAAUGAACCGUGAGGCUUAACCUUACAACGCCGAAGGUGUUU
rnacentral:rRNA from 1 species